UAAAACCAUUGAUACAAUCAACAAAGUGAAUAUAAUUAUCGGUUUAGCUCUAUUUAUAUUCAUUUUAAUAAUAUAUUAUGCUAAUUAGAUUUAUGAGGAAUAAAUGGAGGCUAUUGAUUAUUAUCGAUUACUCCAAUGUAUCGUACAUUGCAUUACGUCAAGGUACGUCACGCGACUGACAUACAAGUACAACAACUGUCAAAUCAGUUCUUUGUUUACAUUCCAUCGUUUGGUGGUUUUCCAACGUUUCGUCGUCUCGGUGUGAUCAUAAAGUGCUGUUUAUGGUAUACCUACCUACUUGCAAAGUAAAGAACAGUCGAGUUGAGAGCACCCUAUGCCUCCCCCUGUCUUUUCUUUAGUAUUGUGAUACUAUCUUAGCGAAAGGAUGCUUGUUUGUGUAUUGUGAUCUGUUUGUAACCAUGUCUCUUCUACGCUGCAUCAACUGCGAUAUUCGAGUGACUCGAAUUAGGCGGCAUCUACUCCUGGAAGAGAGUGAGGCUCUUACAGAAGUUAUGAGACUGUGAACAUAUCCAAGAGAGAUCACAAACACUGACUAUUUGCCAUGCCUCUUGGGAACUUGGAAAUGCUCAAGUCACUGGAGCAAACAUUGUUGAGAAUCAAGAGAGGCUAAUUGGUCUUCACAACAUUUGUGUAGGAUGCGGCCGCUCGAUUUUCAGUCAGUUCUCGCACAAUAUUGAGAGAAACUCCUACAAAUGAAGAAGGCCCAAUAGUUGCUAUUAUAUCACAGUGGAUACAUCCAAGACAGAUUACUCAAAGUGAUCAAGCAUGUACCGCAUGUUGGUUACGCGCUCAGAGAACUCUCCGUCGUCAGCAAUUGGUUGAUGAGGCCAGAAACAUAAAUGAAGAAUUAACAACAUGUGUCAAUUGCAACAAAGAUUUGUUACAUAGCAAUGGCUACUUAUUGAGAAACGAAGACGAAAAUGUCAUCAACAUCAUUAAAAGCUGGAUAUAUCCUAAUAAUAUCAACCUCAUGGAUAGUAUUUGCCAUGCUUGUUGGCAACUUGCAAAUGAAGCAGCACGGCAAGGUUCUGAGUCACCAGAGACUGCAUCCCAACCGUUGGAGACAGAUGACCCUCCUGACUCACAUGAACUACAGGAAGAUAAUCAUGAGGAGGCGUGCCAUCAUAGGAUAUUGUUGCAACUGUAUUGUGGGUUUGAGGACAGUAGGGUGUUGCUCACAUGUGAUGAGUAUCGUAUGGUAUUUAGCCUAUGCUCGUCACUUAGACAAUAUAUCACCACCUGCACAAGUGUUAGAUGGAAUUCUUGUAAGAAUAAACAUUGAAUAAAGCAGUAUAUUGAUUUUAA